AACGAACGCUGGCGGCAGGCCUAACACAUGCAAGUCGAGCGAAGUCUUCGGACUUAGCGGCGGACGGGUGAGUAACGCGUGGGAAUAUGCCCUUCUCUACGGAAUAGCCUCGGGAAACUGGGAGUAAUACCGUAUACGCCCUUUGGGGGAAAGAUUUAUCGGAGAAGGAUUAGCCCGCGUUGGAUUAGGUAGUUGGUGGGGUAAUGGCCUACCAAGCCGACGAUCCAUAGCUGGUUUGAGAGGAUGAUCAGCCACACUGGGACUGGGACACGGCCCAGACUCCUACGGGAGGCAGCAGUGGGGAAUCUUAGACAGUGGGCGCAAGCCUGAUCUAGCCAUGCCGCGUGAUUGAUGAAGGCCUUAGGGUUGUAAAGAUCUUUCAGCUGGGAAGAUAAUGACGGUACCAGCAGAAGAAGCCCCGGCUAACUCCGUGCCAGCCGCCGCAGUAA
rnacentral:rRNA from 1 species